rfam:Stegodyphus mimosarum contig87076, whole genome shotgun sequence.
GCCUUCGUGGUGUAGUGGUCAGCACGCUCGACGCGUAACCGAGAGGUCCGUGGUUCGAUUCCCGAAGAAAGCG